rnacentral:rRNA from 1 species
UACGAAGGGGGCUAGCGUUGUUCGGAAUUACUGGGCGUAAAGGGCGCGUAGGCGGUGUGUCAAGUCAGGCGUGAAAGCCCCGGGCUCAACCUGGGAACAGCGCUUGAGACUGGCACGCUCGAGUUCGGGAGAGGAUGGUGGAAUUCCCAGUGUAGAGGUGAAAUUCGUAGAUAUUCGGAAGAACACCAGUGGCGAAGGCGGCUCACUGGCCCCGGUACUGACGCUGAGGUGCGAAAGCGUGGGGAGCAAAC